AUUGAACGCUGGCGGCAGGCCUAACACAUGCAAGUCGAACGAGUGGCGGACGGGUGAGUAAUGUCUGGGAAACUGCCUGAUGGAGGGGGAUAACUACUGGAAACGGUAGCUAAUACCGCAUACCAUCGGAUUUGCCCAGAUGGGAUUAGCUAGUAGGUGGGGUAAAGGCUCACCUAGGCGACGUUCCCUAGCUGGUCUGAGAGGCUGACAAGCCACACGGGAACUGAGAAACGGUCAGGACUCCUACGGGAGGAAGCAGUGGGGAAUAUUGCACAAUGGGCGCAAGCCGGAUGCAGCCAUGCCGCGUGUAUGAAGAAGGCCUUCGGGUUGUAAAGUACUUUCAGCGGGGAGGCGUUACCCGCAGAAGAAGCACCGGCUAACUCCGUGCCAGCAGCCGCGGUAAUUC
rnacentral:rRNA from 1 species